GUCGGGUUCGGGAUGAAGCGGUUGACGCGGUCGCCGAUGAUCGCCUGGGUGUGCUUGCCGUCGCUGACCAUCUGCACGCCGCGUUUGCGGAACUUCUU
rnacentral:sRNA from 1 species